CAGCGUCCCGAGUGGCGAUCCUGUUUAUUUGGCCUAAAGCGUCCGUAGCUGGUUUAGUAAAUCUUUUGUGAAAUUGUUUUGCUCAACGAAACAACGUGCAGGAGAGACUGCUUGACUAGGGACCGGGAGGAGUCAGAGAUAUAUCAGGGGGAGCGGUAAAAUGCUAUAAUCCCUGAUAGAUCACCUGUGGCGAAGGCGUCUGACUAGAACGGGUCCGACAGUGAGGGACGAAAGCUGGGGGAGCGAACCGGAUUAGAUACCCGAGUAGUCC
rnacentral:rRNA from 1 species